rnacentral:rRNA from 1 species
UCGAGAAUUUUUCUCAAUGGGGGAAACCCUGAAGGAGCGACGCCGCGUGGAGGAUGAAGGUCUUCGGAUUGUAAACUCCUGUCAUUGGUGAACAAAGCUUGCCGGUUAACUGCCGGUGAGACUGCUAGUAGCCGAAGAGGAAGGGACGGCUAACUCUGUGCCAGCAGCCGCGGUAAUACAGAGGUCCCAAGCGUUGUUCGGAUUUAUUGGGCGUAAAGGGUGCGUAGGCGGCAGUGUAAGUUGGACGUGAAAUCCUGGGGCUCAACCUCAGAAUUGCGUUCAAUACUGCAUUGCUAGGGCGCUGUAGAGGAGAUUGGAAUUUACGGUGUAGCAGUGAAAUGCGUAGAUAUCGUAAGGAAGACCAGUGGCGAAAGCGAAUCUCUGGGCAGCAGCCGACGCUGAGGCACGAAGGCCAGGGGAGCAAACGG